CACGUAGGCAGCAAGCGUUGUUCGGAGUUACUGGGCGUAAAGGGUGUGUAGGCGGUCUUCUAAGUUUGGUGUGAAAUCUCCCGGCUUAACUGGGAGGGUGCGCCGAAUACUGAAAGACUAGAGUGCGGGAGAGGAUAGUGGAAUUCCUGGUGUAGCGGUGAAAUGCGUAGAUAUCAGGAGGAACACCGGUGGUGUAGACGGCUAUCUGGACCGUAACUGACGCUGAGACACGAAAGCGUGGGUAG
rnacentral:rRNA from 1 species